GAGGUGGUAGGAUCGCUCGUGCCUUGGAGGUUGAGACUGCAGAGAGCUGUGAUCGUACCACUGCACUCCAGCCUGAGUGACAGAGCAAGACCCUGUCUC
ensembl:miRNA